AUAGUAUGGAUUGGAUUGGGUGAGGGAUGGAGAAUCAAAAAAGUUAAAUUACUUUGGAAACAAUUGUAACAUACUAGGCAGUGGGUGAGAGUGGUUUGGACCAGGUGACAAUUAUUAGAGACCUAUGGAAACUGUGUGAUAAUAAAUUUGUAUUAAUUGGCGGAUUCUUUACCACUGGGCCACCUGGGAAGCCCCCACCAACUAAGAUGGGCGUGAUCCAAUUGAUUGAAGGCCUGAGGAGAACAAAAAGAUGGAGGCAGGGGACAUUUGCUUUCUCUGAGCUGAGACGUUCGUUUCCUCCUGGCCUACUAGAUCAGCACUCCUGGUUCUUGGGCUUUUGGACCCAGAUUGUGAAAUCAGUGCCCCAAUUCUCAGGGCUACGGAUUCCGACUUAACUAUGCCACCAAUCUUCCUGAUUUUUCCAGCUUGCAAGACGGCAGACCAGGGAACUUCUCAGUAUUCAUAACUACAGCAGCAUGGACAUAUCUCAGCCUAUGAUAGUAACAAAGGUCAGUCUAGUCAAGGCUAUGGUUUUUCCAAUGGUCAUGUAUGGAUGUGAGAGUUGGACUGUGAAGAAAGCUGAGUGCCGAAGAAUUGAUGCUUUUGAACUGUGGUGUUGGAGAAGACUCUUGAGAGUCCCUUGGCCUGCAAGAAGAUACAACCAGUCCAUUCUGAAGGAGAUCAGCCCUGGGAUUUCUUUGGAAGGAAUGAUGCUAAAGCUGAAACUCCAGUACUUUGGCCACCUCAUGCGAAGAGUUGACUCAUUGGAAAAGACUCUGAUGCUGGGAGGGAUUGGAGGCAAGAGGAGAAGGGGACGACAGAGGAUGAGAUGGCUGGAUGGCAUCACUGACUCGAUGGGCAUGAGUCUCAGUGAACUCUGGGAGUUGGUGAUGGACAGGGAGGCCUGGUGUGCUGCGAUUCAUGGAGUCGCAAAGAGUUGGACACAACUGAGUGACUGAACUGAACUGAACUGAACAUAUAAUUAGCUCAGUUGGGAAAGAAUCUGCCUGCAGUGCAGGAGACCUGGAUUCGAUCCCUGGGUUGGGAGGAUCCCUGGAGAAGGAAAUGGCGACCCACUCCAGUAUCCUUGCCUGGAAAAUCUCAUGGACAGAGGAGCCUGGUGGGCUGCAGUUCCUGGGGUCGCAAAGAGUUGGGCAUGACUGAGUGACUAACAUAUUAUUUGAAUUACUGUAGCUUUGUAGUGUAGUCUGAAAACAGUGUGCAUGAUACCUCUAUCUCUGUUCUUUUUCAGUGUUGUUUUGGCUCUUUGGGGUCUUCUGUGUUUCCAUACAAAUUUUAAAACUAUUGGUUCUAGUUCUAUGAAAAAUGCCACAAGUAUUUUGAUAAAGAUUGCACCAAAUCUACAGAUAACCUUGGGUAGUAUGAUCAUAUUAACAAUAUUAAUUCUUCUAAUCCAUAAACAUGGUAUAUCUUUUUAUCUAUUUGCAUCAUGUUCAAUUUCUUUCAUCAUGUCUUAUAGUUUUCCAAGUAUAGUUUUUUUUUUUUUUUUUUUUUUUACCUCCUUAGGCAGAUUUAUUCCUAGGUAUUUUAUUAUUUUGGUUUCAAUGAUAAAUGGGGUCUUUCCUUAAUUUGUCUUUUAGUUCAUUGUUAGUGUAUAGACAUGCAACAGAUUACUGCAUAUUAAUUUUAUAUCCUGCAACUUUAUCAAAGUAGUUUUUGGGUAGUGUCUUUAGAAUUUUCUAUGAAUAUAUAGUAUCAUUAGUAUACUAUAUAUAGUAUAAUAUAUAGUAUUAUUUCAUUGGUACACAGUGAGAGUUUUAGCUAUUCCUUCCCAAUUUGGGUUGCUUUUAUUUCUUUUCCUGUCCAAAUGCUGUAACUAGGACUUACAAUUCUAUAUUGAGUUAAAAGUGGUGAGAAUGGGCAUCCUUGUCUUAUUCCUGGUCUUAGAAGAAAUGCUUUCAACUUUUAACCAUUGAGUACGAUAUUAAUUGUGGAUUUAUCAUGUAUGAUCUUUAUUAUAAUAUGUUGAUAUAUGUUCCUUUUAUACCCACCUUCUGGAGAGUUUUUGUUAUAAAUGGAUGUUGAAUUUUGUCAAAAGCUUUCUCUGCAUCAGUUGAGAUGGUCAUAUGGUUUUUAUUCAAUUUGUUAAUGUAGUGUAUCACAUUUGUAGUUCUUUUUUAUUCCUUCUUUUGUUUUCUUGUGAUUCCAUGACUAUUUUUAGUGUUAUGUUUGGAUUCCUUUUUCUUUUGUGUUUGUAUAUCUAUUAUGUAUUUUUGGUCUGUGGUUACCAUGAGGUUUCUGUAUAAUAGUCUGUAUAUAUACAUUAUUUUUUAAGUUGCUAAUCACUUAAUUUCAAAUGCAUUUUAACAAGCCUGCUUUUGUACUGUCCUUCAUGAUUACUGUUGACAUCAUAUUUUAUAUAUAAUUGUGUAUUUCUUAACAGCUUAUUGUAGGUAUAGAUAAUUUUACUACUUUGUCUUUUAAACUUCUUACUAGCUUUGUGCAUGGAAAGUUUACUAAUAACUUCACUGGUAUAUUUGCCUUUAUUGAAGGGUUUUUUUCCUUUCAUAAUUUUCAUGUUUCUAGUAGUGGCUUUUUCUUUUUCACUUAGAGAAGUAGCUUUAACAUGUCUUGUAAAGCUGGUUUGUUGGUGUCAAAAUCUUGGCUUUGUUUGUUUUAUGCUCUCUGAAGCAAAUCUGAAUAAAAACCUUACCUUGUAUAAUACUCUUUUGCUAUAGUUUUUUUCCUUUUAUCGCUGUAAAUAUAUAGUGU
ensembl:lncRNA